AAUAAAUUAUUAUUUUUAUAAAACAUUAUUAAUUCUCCAAUGUUUUGGAUAGAAUUUUAUCUUGCUCUUCUACAAUGUAACUACUACUCACAUAAUCUCACAGGAUUUUCAUGAUGUAGAAGUUAUUCUCAUAUAAUCUCAAAGAAAUUAUAAUCUCAUUGUGGCUCUUGUCACCAUCACUGGGGACUGAAGAUGGACACUUUAUGUAGGUCCCCAGAUUACUCCUAUGUUUUAGUCACCCUGUGCCCAUUAUAGGUACAGUGGUGUGUAGUGUAUUUGUUUU